UCCCAAAGAUGGUUUCUGUCAUUUUAGGUACGGGAACUGUACGUAGAUCAGGAACGUCGAGAGGAGAUUUAACUUUAACUUUACAUAUAACCACGAUUGUCUGUUUCAAACCAACAAAAUGAAACGAUUAUUCUGCAGUAAACUGUACUAACCGACCUGAGGGAUCUUUGCAGUUUUUUCGAGACAGGAUUGGUCAGGACCUCCAAAUGACAUCCUGCAUUUUUCUACACUUCAGACAGGGCAGCUUGCUCCACUCUCUCGGAGCCUGCGGGGAGAGGCAGCAGAGUCUUGCCUUGAACUUGGCCCGACACCACAAACACAUUGGUCUUGAGGGAGUGGACGUGGCGUCUGAUGUCCAGAGACACUACCUGCGG